CGCGCAGGCGGCUUCUUAAGUCCAUCUUAAAAGUGCGGGGCUUAACCCCGUGAUGGGAUGGAAACUGAGAGGCUGGAGUAUCGGAGAGGAAAGUGGAAUUCCUAGUGUAGCGGUGAAAUGCGUAGAGAUUAGGAAGAACACCGGUGGCGAAGGCGACUUUCUGGACGACAACUGACGCUGAGGCGCGAAAGCGUGGGGAGCAAACAG
rnacentral:rRNA from 1 species